rnacentral:rRNA from 1 species
UGGGGAAUAUUGGACAAUGGGCGCAAGCCUGAUCCAGCCAUGCCGCGUGAGUGUUGAAGGCCCUAGGGUUGUAAAGCUCUUUCACCGGUGAAGAUAAUGACGGUAACCGGAGAAGAAGCCCCGGCUAACUUCGUGCCAGCAGCCGCGGUAAUACGAAGGGGGCUAGCGUUGUUCGGAUUUACUGGGCGUAAAGCGCACGUAGGCGGACUAUUAAGUCAGGGGUGAAAUCCCGGGGCUCAACCCCGGAACUGCCUUUGAUACUGGUAGUCUUGAGUUCGAGAGAGGUGAGUGGAAUUCCGAGUGUAGAAGUGAAAUUCGUAGAUAUUCGGAGGAACACCAGUGGCGAAGGCGGCUCACUGGCUCGAUACUGACGCUGAGGUGCGAAAGCGUGGGGAGCAAACAGG